CACCAAUCUCCGAAUCUGAUCAGGCCAGGCAUCAAGCAGCAG
rnacentral:SRP_RNA from 13 species